rnacentral:rRNA from 1 species
UACGAAGGGGGCUAGCGUUGCUCGGAAUUACUGGGCGUAAAGGGAGCGUAGGCGGAUAGUUUAGUCAGAGGUGAAAGCCCAGGGCUCAACCUUGGAAUUGCCUUUGAUACUGGCUAUCUUGAGUAUGGGAGAGGUGUGUGGAACUCCGAGUGUAGAGGUGAAAUUCGUAGAUAUUCGGAAGAACACCAGUGGCGAAGGCGACACACUGGCCCAUUACUGACGCUGAGGCUCGGAAAGCGUGGGGAGCAAACAGG